AAAUGCGUAGAUAUAUGGAAGAACACCAGUGGCGAAGGCGGCUGUCUGGUCUGUAACUGACGCUGAGGCUCGAAAGUAUGGGUAGCAAACAGGAUUAGAUACCCUGGUAGUCCAUACCGUAAACGAUGAAUGCUAAGUGUUGGAGGGUAUCCGCCCUUCAGUGCUGCAGCUAACGCAUUAAGCAUUCCGCCUGGGGAGUACGGCCGCAAGGCUGAAACUCAAAGGAAUUGACGGGGGCCCGCACAAGCGGUGGAGCAUGUGGUUUAAUUCGAAGCUACGCGAAGAACCUUACCAGGUCUUGACAUACUAUGCAAAUCUAAGAGAUUAGACGUUCCCUUCGGGGACAUGGAUACAGGUGGUGCAUGGUUGUCGUCAGCUCGUGUCGUGAGAUGUUGGGUUAAGUCCCGCAACGAGCGCAACCCUUAUUAUCAGUUGCCAGCAUUAAGUUGGGCACUCUGGUGAGACUGCCGGUGUCAAACCGGAGGAAGGUGGGGAUGACGUCAAAUCAUCAUGCCCCUUAUGACCUGGGCUACACCCGUGCUCCAAUGGAUGGUACAACGAGUUGCGAACUCGCGAGAGUAAGCUAAUCUCUUAAAGCCAUUCUCAGUUCGGAUUGUAGGCUGCAACUCGCCUACAUGAAGUCGGAAUCGCUAGUAAUCGCGGAUCAGCAUGCCGCGGUGAAUACGUUCCCGGGCCUUGUACACACCGCCCGUCACACCAUGAGAGUUUGUA
rnacentral:rRNA from 2 species